CUCAGAGUUAGUCAACCCAGAGUUCAGGUUUAAAGUCUGGAGUCAUUGACAAUGUUUAGGGCCUUCCUCUGACACCGCCUGGUAUAGAGAUGAAGAGUUUGUUAAACCUGCUUUCUGAAACAGGGCCCAGUAAAUCAAUGCUAGUUAUUGUUGCCCCAUUGCUGGCUGAUGAUAUCCAUGCCCUGUCGAUGGACACUAUACUUCAGGACGCAGAGAAGAUCACCAGCUCAGCUCAUCAAACUGUCCAAUCUCUGGAGGGGACAACAGACACUGCUCAAUCUGUGCUUGAUUUGGCCCAAGUGGCACCCAGCCAAACGGACUAACGUUAUAAUGCAUAAAUCCUUUAGCUAUUGUUAUUUUUAAAUUGUGUGUGUAUUUCAUACAAUCUUGCAGGUUGUUAUGAUAUUAUUGGUUUGUAACAAACAUACAAAUCUGUAAUCAUAUCCUGUCCCUCAGGGCUACAAUGAUAAACAUCAAACUCUGUUCUCUUAUACGCUGAACUGAUGGACAGUGGACCAGCAGCACUCAGUAUGUAACCUGACACCCCUGGAGGUGUUGAUGGUAAUUCUGUAGAACAAGAAAGAAAACAAAAACAAUGUAGAAAACUUCAGUGAACUAUUUACAGAUAAAACAUAAUCCAUAUAAGUAGGAGCAGAUCAGCCUAUAGUAUUUGGUAUUUUAUUAGGAUCCCCAUUAGCUGUUUCAAAAGCAGAAGCUACUCUUCCUGGGGUCCACACAAAACAUGAAACAUGACAUAAUACAAAACAUUAAUAGACAACAGCUCAAGGACAGAACUACAUGAAUAAAAUAAAAAUGUUAAUACAAAAGGCACAAGUAGCCUACAUAUCAAUACAUACACACAAACUAUCUAGGUCAAAUAGUGGAG
rnacentral:lncRNA from 1 species